rnacentral:rRNA from 1 species
UACGGGGGGAGCAAGCGUUGUUCGGAUUUACUGGGCGUAAAGGGCGCGUAGGCGGUCAGCACAAGUCAGUUGUGAAAUCUCCGGGCUUAACUCGGAAAGGUCAACUGAUACUGUGCGACUAGAGUGCGGAAGGGGCAACUGGAAUUCUCGGUGUAGCGGUGAAAUGCGUAGAUAUCGCUUGGAACGCCGACGGUGAAAACAGCUCGCUGGGGACUCGCUGACGCUGAGACACGAAAGCCAGGGGAGCGAACGGG